rnacentral:lncRNA from 1 species
AACCCAAUACCACUGAAUAAUUAAAUGAACCUAUUUUUAAGGAAUACUUGUCUUUUCUAAAUACUAGAGAUUUUUUCCGCGCUUCGCGCGGAUUGUGUCUUAUAAAUUUAUUUUACUUAUAAUAUUAUUUGUCGGUUUGUUUCUUUUACAUUAUUUUUUUGUUUUUCCAAUGUUAGUUUUUCUUAAUUUAAAUUUAUAUGUUUAUAGUUUUUCUUUUUUCUGGUUGUAGAUGGAGAAUUAUAUUUUUUAUUGAUAGUUUUUGAAUGUGACAUAAACUUUUUGAAAUUUUAAAUAAUGUUAUAUAUAGUACAAUUAACACAUUAAAGAAGAGAAACAUAUUUAAGCACAUUUUAUACAGGUUUUAUAUACAUAAUUUUAAACAUUAUAUAUGUAUAUAUUAUAAGUUUGAAACAUGUAA